UCUCCACAAGAGACCAAUUGACAUAGAAAUUAACAACUAUAGGCCACCGUACUGCCUUCAACAACGAACACAGUCCAUUGUAGUCAGCUAUAAAAGGCUCCGAAAUGACAAAUGUAGAAAAAGUCUAACGAGAAAACUAACGGCCUAAUUUAAGUACAAAUAAUGAUCGAAAAACAAAUUUGUAAAACAGCACUCGAUCCUCAAGCAAUCGAGCCCUGUUGUAUUAUAAGAAACGAACAAAACAGCUCAAAAUGCAAAAUAUUCAGGAAUACUUAAAAUAAGUUUGUCGUGGGUGAUGGAGCACGUUUAUCUGUCUAUUAUAAAUCUGACAUAAUAUUGGCAGGCGUACUUAAAAAAUACAUAUUUAAGAAACAGCUGUCUGUUUAUUUCAUCAAUUUAAUAACCAGGAAAACUAGAUACUGUAUAUUCAUUUAUAUUGUUUGAAAAAUAAAGUUUUGUUCGAAAUGUAGGGCGUAACUACGAUUUCAAAUCCUCUACUAAAAGACCUAGCUAAAUGUGCCACGACCGACAAUAUACAACUACACAAACUAUUGAAAACUAGCUAAAUAUUUUCUGAGUUUAUGAGUCUGUUAUUAAACUCAUCAUGAAUUCCAGGCUAAAUAAUGAAUAUGGUAGACAUGCGUUUUGUCUACUAAAGACUCAUUAGUGGCGCUCAAAUAAAACAGUUAAAAAGACAUAAUAAAGUACAAAAUAUUGAACACUUUUAAAUUUAAACGAUAACAGUUGUAGUUAAAUCAUUUGGAUGUGCUAUAAAGUAUAAUUUGAUAAGUUAAUACAGUCCGGUGCAUUCAGCGUGAAUUGGUUCAAAAGCAUUAAAUGGCACAUACAAUAAAAAGUAAGAGAAAACAAUCCGUUUGUUUUAAUGAUAAAAUUCGUUAUGAAAGUGUAUUACAAUGAUAAAGUUUAGAACAUAUAUGCGUGAUUGUAAUUACAAUGCAAAGUUUAAUUUUGCUUUGAAUAAUUUAGUAUAUAUACAUUAAUAGUAUUUGUAUGUAAAUUUGCUUUAUAUUUACAGGAUGGAGAAAGAUGUUCACUAUGGAUCAAAAAUUCAAAACAGAGGACCUUUUUAUUCAAACAAAAAUACUUAUACAUGUAUGAUAUUCUGUACAUACAACAAGAAAACAGUAAUCAAAUGGAAUGUCCAGUGAUGUUAGCAAAAUUAUUUUUGUUAACAGAAAACAAUAGGACUACAAUAUAUUAAGGUACACAACACAUCAUGUCAGAAGAAUAAUUUUACUGGAGGAUAAAAAAUUUAAUACCUGGAAUCAUCAGCAAUUUACAAAAUGUAUAUGAAAUUUAUUAAGAGAGAUAUAUUCAUGUACAGAAUGGUAACCCAACCAAAUAACCCAGGUGGUUCAAGUGAUUAUUAGCAGACAUUUUUGUUGAACUAAUGCAGGAUUAAAUAAAUGAAGCUUACACAGACUAUGGGCUCCAAAGUGUAGUAAAAAGAGGAUUUUUAAAUAUGUGAGACCCAUCAACAUUAAAAUGUGCAUAAGUGAAAUGUUACAAUAUUUAGUAAAAAAUUCAGAUUA